CGGCGGACGGGUGAGUAACACGUGGAUAACCUACCUAUAAGACUGGGAUAACUUCGGGAAACCGGAGCUAAUACCGGAUAAUAUAUUGAACCGCAUGGUUCAAUAGUGAAAGACGGUUUUGCUGUCACUUAUAGAUGGAUCCGCGCCGCAUUAGCUAGUUGGUAAGGUAACGGCUUACCAAGGCAACGAUGCGUAGCCGACCUGAGAGGGUGAUAGGCCACACUGGAACUGAGACACGGUCCAGACUCCUACGGGAGGCAGCAGUC
rnacentral:rRNA from 1 species